rnacentral:rRNA from 1 species
UACGGGGGGGGCAAGCGUUGUUCGGAAUUACUGGGCGUAAAGGGCUCGUAGGUGGCCAACUAAGUCGGACGUGAAAUCCCUCAGCUUAACUGGGGAACUGCGUCCGAUACUGGAUGGCUUGAGUUUGGGAGAGGGAUGCGGAAUUCCAGGUGUAGCGGUGAAAUGCGUAGAUAUCUGGAGGAACACCGGUGGCGAAGGCGGCAUCCUGGACCAACACUGACACUGAUGAGCGAAAGCUAGGGGAGCAAACGGG